CAGUCGCCGCGGGAACACGGAGGGGGCUAGCGUUGUUCGGAAUUACUGGGCGUAAAGCGCACGUAGGCGGCUUGGUAAGUUAGAGGUGAAAGCCCGGAGCUCAACUCCGGAAUUGCCUUUAAGACUGCCGAGCUAGUAGGUGAGAGAGGCGAGUGGAAUUCCGAGUGUAGAGGUGAAAUUCGUAGAUUUUCGGAAGAACACCGAUGGCGAAGGCAGCCCCCUGGGCCAACACUGACGCUCAUGCACGAAAGCGUGGGGAGCAAACAGGAUUAGAUACCCCCGUAGUCCCUGUCUCUUAUAC
rnacentral:rRNA from 1 species